rnacentral:rRNA from 1 species
GUGUCAGCCGCCGCGGUAAUACGUAGGCAGCUAGCGUUGUUCGGAAUUACUGGGCGUAAAGCGAGUGUAGGCGGUUUGCCAAGUCCGUUGUGAAAUCUCCCGGCUCAACUGGGAGGGUGCGGCGGAAACUGGCAGGCUAGAGUGCGGAAUGGGAGAGUGGAAUUCCUGGUGUAGCGGUGAAAUGCGUAGAUAUCAGGAGGAACACCGGUGGUGAAGACGGCUCUCUGGACCGCUACUGACGCUGAGACUCGAAAGCGUGGGGAGCAAACAGGAUUAGAUACCCUCGUAGUCC